UACGUAGGGUGCAGGCGUUAAUCGGAAUUACUGGGCGUAAAGGGCUCGUAGGCGGCCAACUAAGUCAGACGUGAAAUCCCUCAGCUUAACUGGGGAACUGCGUCUGAUACUGGAUGGCUUGGAUCCGGGAGAGGGAUGCGGAAUUCCAGGUGUAGCGGUGAAAUGCGUAGAUAUCUGGAGGAACACCGGUGGCGAAGGCGGCAUCCUGGACCGGUAUUGACGCUGAGGAGCGAAAGCCAGGGGAGCAAACGGG
rnacentral:rRNA from 1 species